UGAAGGACGUGCUAAUCUGCGAUAAGCGUCGGUAAGGUGAUAUGAACCGUUAUAACCGGCGAUUUCCGAAUGGGGAAACCCAGUGUGAUUCGUCACACUAUCAUUAACUGAAUCCAUAGGUUAAUGAGGCGAACCGGGGGAACUGAAACAUCUAAGUACCCCGAGGAAAAGAAAUCAACCGAGAUUCCCCCAGUAGCGGCGAGCGAACGGGGAGCAGCCCAGAGCCUGAAUCAGUGUGUGUGUUAGUGGAAGCGUCUGGAAAGGCGUGCGAUACAGGGUGACAGCCCCGUACACAAAAAUGCACAUACUGUGAGCUCGAUGAGUAGGGCGGGACACGUGGUAUCCUGUCUGAAUAUGGGGGGACCAUCCUCCAAGGCUAAAUACUCCUGACUGACCGAUAGUGAACCAGUACCGUGAGGGAAAGGCGAAAAGAACCCCGGCGAGGGGAGUGAAAAAGAACCUGAAACCGU
rnacentral:rRNA from 1 species